rnacentral:lncRNA from 1 species
GAUGAACGCAGGGCUGGGAGCAAAGAAACCCAGGUUCUAGUGGGACCCUGCGUCACCGGCUCUCUGAGUCAUCCACCUGCCCUGUCGCAGUGGGUGGUGUUCUCUACCAGUGAGGUAAAGUUGGUCCCUCCUCUGCCUCUGCAUUUACUCUCCCUUCCCCGGCACACUCUCCCGUCCAGCCUGCCCAUUCAGCCAGCCAGCUCGAGAAGUUCAUUGCCACCAACACCGCCCCCUGCCCGCCCCCGGCCCCGCCACCGUGCUGAAACCCCCACCUUUGCUGUCACCUGCCUCACUCCCACCACCCACCCUCCUAGCAGGCCCUGCAGAGAGGAAGGCUGUGCUAACCAAGGAAAGGAAGGAGAACCCUGGGCUGUGCAAGUGGAGAAGGCUCCUGGCACUUCCUCUCCUCGGCGGCCUUGGGCCAUGAGCCCAUCUCUGGAGCGGUGGGCGCGCUUGUGGGCGUGUUUGUGCGUGUCCGGCCUGGCUGUUAGCCUGCCGGUUCCUGGAAGGCAGAGGACCAUUUGUCCUGGUCUCCCCUUGCCCCGACCUCCCCAACAGGGCCCAGGGUGGCGGUGGGCUCAGGCAGGUCCGUCAGGCUGGACAUUCUUGCAAAUUCGACAGCCUGAGUUGGACCAGAAGCCCAGUGUGGUGGACGAAGGCAGCUGGUCUGCAGACCAGACUUGGGGAGAGAAAAGAUCAGGCUUCUGUGGCUGAUAUGAUUUUAAAUCCUUAUUCGUAGGCAGGCCUACAAUCCUUUUUUUUUUUUUUUUUUUUUUUUUAGAGAUAUUAGCCACCCUGGCUGCCCUCACUUUUUUUUUUUUUUUUUUAAUUUCAGGAGAAAAAGCUUGAUAGAAUAAAUGUGAUGGUAAAUGAACCAGAAUCCUGAAGGCUUUCACUUCCACUCGUGCCUCUGUCUCACUGAGCACCUGUGAUGCAGUUGGAUCCGUGCGGCACCUGCAGGGAGAGGGGGGCCGGGAUUUGAUUCAGGAUUCUGCCGCAGAGGAAGGGCAGGUUCUGCGUGGUUGGAGGAAAAUCUCGAAGGGCUUCAUGGAGAAGGUGACACUUGAGCUGCACUCUGAAGGAAAGAUGUUUCUGAGGGAGAGAUGAGCACGUUCCAAGGCCCAGAGGUGGGAAUAGGCGGGUAGUUUUCAGACAAUAGUAAGUGGCACCCUUUGGCUUCGGACCCAAAUAUGGGCCAGUUCAGGGAGGCAUGAAACGGUGAAUUCGAAUGGGAGCACCUUGUGGCCACUCUGGGCUUCAGUCUUCUGUGACCUGCUGUGUGGCCUUGCUCUGUUCCCCUCUCCUCCGUGCUAGAGGGUGUGCAGGUGAUAGAACCAUAGACCCGAACCAUGGAGGCCAAGACAGAGAUGUGUGGCGCUCUCUCGACCCUGUCCACUGUGCCUGGGCGCAGACACUGGCCGUUGGCUCCUGGGGAGCUUUUGUGUUGUUAUGUUUGAGGGCGCAGUGUGAUGGGUGAGGGUGCAGGCCUAGAGCCAGACUACGCAGGUUCAAAUCCCAGCUCCGGGGGCACCUGGGUGGCUUAGCAGCUGAGCAUCUGCCUUCGGCUCAAGUCAUGGUCCCAGGGUCCUAGGAUCGAGUCCCACAUCAGGCUCCCUGCGUGGAGCCCACUUCUCCCUCCACCUGUGUCUCUGCCUCUCUCUGUGUGUCUCUCAUGAAUAAAUAAAUAAAGUCUUUAAAAAACAAACAAACAAACAAACAAACAAACAAACAAACACAAAUCCCAGCUGUGCCCCACACUAACUGAAUCCUGGUACAAUGUCCCUAAACUUUCUCCGCCAUGGGGAUAUCAUGAGCACUCACUUAUCAGGGUGCUGGUGUGGGGGUUCCGCGAGCUAGUACUAGGCACGGCCCCCUCACCCUGACCCCACCCCAGGGUGCCUCCAUACGGUGCUCGUGCCUCCAACCACUGCCUGUGGAUUGUUGCUUUAUCCAGUUUAACCGGCUCUCCCUAC